UGACUGCAGGGCCACAGAGAAGACUCUGAGGGCAUGUCCAGGACCAAGCCCCACCUGUCGGGACCUCUUCCAGAACCCCCGCUCCAGCCUAGGGAGCUGCUUUCCGGUGGUGGACCCCACACCAUUCCUCAGCCUGUGCAUCCAGGACACUUGUGGAACCCAGGAGCUCCAAGCUGCCUGCAACCUGGCAGCCGCCUACAUCCACCUGUGUGCCCGGGGCUUCGUGCCCCUGGACCUUCUUCCACAGUGUGUGUGAGAUUUUGCCUAAGACAGCACCAGGCUGCCAGAGAUUUCAAGCUCCUUCACCUUCUACCACAAAUUGCAUCUCCUUGGCAAGGUCAAGAUUCUUGGUUGGGGCAGAACAACCCACAUGAAAUGCCAGGGAAUGCAGAGAAAACUGCACUUGCUCCAGACACAGGAAAGAGGAGCUGUUGGCCAGUGCUUUCAAAAUGUUCCUGGAGACAUCAGACUCCCCAACUGGUCUAGCUAAUUCUCGACCGUCCUCAACACUGAUGCUGUCAGAUAGGAGACAGCCUGGCCAGCAGCCCCACCUCUGGAAAGGGAGCUCCACUCCAGCAACCAUCCUUGCCCAGCAGCUAUGUCUGCAGCCUCCUCUGCGCAAGCCUUGAGCUGACCACCCUGAAGGUAGACACGAAGCAGGUUCUCCCAGCUGCAUGGCACUGGCUCCUGCCUGCUUCAGGGGCCUCAGGAGGCAUGAGGUUCCUUGAGGGGAACUGGCAGUCCCAAGCCCCUUAAUGAGAAACCUGGGGGCAGGGAGGGGGGCUUUCCUCUUUGACGUACCAACACUGGUACUCAGGCCCCCAAGAUGCAGCAAUCAAAGUUUUUUACUUUCUUCUGGGGAGCAGGCUUCUCCUUUGAGUUUUCAACUGAAAAAUAAAGCUGGCAGAAUUUGA